rnacentral:rRNA from 1 species
UACGUAGGCAGCGAGCGUUGUUCGGAGUUACUGGGCGUAAAGGGGGUGUAGGCGGUUGUUUAAGUUUGGUGUGAAAUCUCCCGGCUCAACUGGGAGGGUGCGCCGAAUACUGAAUGACUUCGAGUGCGGGAGAGGAAAGUGGAAUUCCUGGUGUAGCGGUGAAAUGCGUAGAUAUCAGGAGGAACACCGGUGGCGUAGACGGCUUACUGGACCAUAACUGACGCUGAGGCACGAAAGCGUGGGUAGCAAACAGG